rnacentral:rRNA from 1 species
AUGCUCCCAAGCCGUGUCAUAAACAAUGAAACUCCCACAGAACGGCUCCUUCAUGUCAAGCCCAACUACACAUCUCUACGUGUCUUUGGGUGUGCAUGCUGGCCCAAUCUCCGUCCCUACAACUCUCGCAAACUCAUGUUCCGAUCUAAGCAGUGUGUUUUCCUUGGGUAUAGUGCACAACACAAGGGGGUUAAGUGCCUAGAUGUUUCUACCGGCCGUGUCUACAUUUCUCGCGAUGUUGUGUUCGAUGAGAACAAGUUUCCAUUCGCUGAUCUACACCCCAACGCCGAUGCUUUGCUUCGUAAAGAAAUCCUCCUUCUACCACCCUCUCUUACUGGCCUCGAUGAAGGGGAACGAAACCAUGAUGAUCAUAUGUUGACUAACCCUCAAACCACUGUGCCCGAGUUGUGUGAUGCUGCAGGAGAAAACGGAUCAGAAAAUGAUGAAGCAAAUGAUGUACGAGGGCCAUAUUUCAUGUGCCCCGAACCAGGGAGCAAAUCAGUCUCGGGAUCAGCUCCCGUGACAGCGGCAGACCUACCCAGCGGAUAA